CCUGAAGAACGGAGGCCGUUUCGUGGCGCUGAAGCGCGUGCGGGUGCAGACGGGCGAGGAGGGCAUGCCGCUCUCUACCAUCCGCGAGGUGGCGGUGCUGAGGCACCUGGAGACCUUCGAGCACCCCAACGUGGUCAGGAUUUUACAGUUUUUGCUUUUACGUUAACUCUGUGAUACAUUCAAGUUAAAUCUUUGUGUGUGGCUUGAGAUUUUAUUCAUUUAUUUGAGAGAGAGAGAGAGCACAAGCCAGGGGGAGGAGCAGAGGGAGAAGGAGAAGCAGACUCCCCGCUGAGCAGAGAGCCCAAUGCAGGGCUCAAUCCUGAGACUCCGAGAUCAUGACCCGAGCUGAAGGCAGACACCUAAUUGACUGAGCCACCCAGGUGCCCCAAGAUCUCAUUUCUGAGUAGAAAUUCUGGGAGGCUCAUUUGGAGUAGGGAUGGAGUAUCUUUUAUCAGGCUCAGUUGGAGUAGGGGUGAGAGUAUCUUUUAUCAGGCUUUACUUUUGAGUGAAUGGGAAAACUGGCUGUCAGGAUGAGGAAGAACCCCCAAAUGCCAUAACAAGAAGGGUUUUAUCCCAACGUCUUUGGUAUGGGGAUGACAGUGGGGAUGCCGACCAGUGCAGUUACCUGGUACAGACCUUCCUUCAGUUGACUCCCCUGCUUUGGCUGCGUUUCUCUCUCCCUUUCUCCAUCACACCUGCUGGCUCAGUCCGGCUCCUGCUUCCUCCACAGUGCCCUCAUAGCUUGUUCCAGGGCACUGGCCUUCCCUUCAGUAAAAAUAUUUGAGCAUGCCCCUGAUAGUCACUGACUUAUAAAAAUUACCUCUGAAACAAUGAAUCAUGGAACACUACAUCUAAAACUAAUGAUGUAAUAUAUGGUGAUUAACAUAACAAUAAAAAAUUUUUAAAAAUUACCUCUGUAUGCAGAUAUGUAUAUAUAUAAAUGCACAAAAGUGAUGAUUUUGAAAUGAAGAAAUAAAAAAUAGUCCAUAAUUAAAAGGUAUUUUCUUAAUGUGGUUCCUGAAUUACAUGUUCACCCAUCUAGAGACCACUAUCUUUUUGGUGACUUUCUCUGCCAAUUUCCUCGAUCAACUUGCUUCUAUUUAUUUUCAGUCAUCCAGAAAAUCUACUAAACUCUCAGUUUUUUGAUGGCAUCUUUCUUUACUUACGGGUUUUAUUUCUUUUUCUCUAGCAGUAUAUUGAGAAAGACUGGAGGCAAAUAUUUGCAAUGGGUCUGCCAUUUUUUUUGUCGUUGUUGUUCUUUUUUUUUAGAGAGGGAGUGGGGAGGGGCAGAGGGAGAGAGAGAAUCUUAAGCAGGCUCCACGCCCAGCACAGAGCCCUAAGCAGGGCUUGAUCCCCCAACCCUGAGAUCAUGACCUGAGCCGAAAUCAAGAGCUGGACACUUAGCGGACUGACCUGCCCAGGCGCCCUGCAUCUGCCAUUUUGAAGUGGAAGUCCCAUCUGAUAUAUUUCUUAAAGUAAAACAUUAAAUAAUUAAAAUGUCAUUAUUUCUUGCAAUUCAGUUUGCUUUCCUGAGUGGGAGCAAAAGGAUGUCGCUAAAGGUAGUGGCCUGAGAAUUGCUUAUAACCUGUAGGAGGUUUUAUUUAUGCAGCAGUCUUCACAUUUGGAUAGAUCAAUAGUAGUGUGAGUCAAGGAAGUAGCCCGUACAUUUCACCAGGAGCAAAAAUAAGUUGAAGAACACAUGCUCUGGAGACAUAUGGAAAUCAUGUGAGAUAGACUUUUCCCCUAUUUUUGUGACAUUCUUUAAUUUUGCGGACAGCCUGGAAAAGAGCUGUAUAUGUAGAAAGAACAUUGUCACCAUCUUCCAUUUGCCUGUUGGACCUGGUGAUCUACAAUCAUAGUCAUUCUCGGUUUUCAUACUGUCAUUUCUAGGUUUUCAUAUAGCAUCCCAACAGCUGGUGUAAACCCGUAACAUGCAGUAAUAAUUUGACAUCAUAGUGGAAAUGUUAGCCAAUUGAUUUUUCUUCAGACAAACCAACUGAAAAAAUAAGCCCACUAUGAAUUAAUUCUUUGCAGGAAUUUCCCAUGUCUGAUGAUUUAAAAGAAUAAAUUCUGCAUGUAAAUGAAUCAUUACAAGCUUAAUUGAAGCUUGUUGGAUACUCAAGAUUACUCACUGUGGUGUGUUUCUGAUGGAGACAGGAAGUGAAAAAGCAAGGUCUAUGAGAUUUUUUUUGUGCAUGAAGUCUCAGCCAGUCUUUUUAAUGUUUCUCAUUGAGGCUUUGUCGCUAGGGUAAAUGACUCAAGGUAUCUAUUGCCGCUUAGCUGUUUUUUAAGGGGGAAUUUCCCCCCACGCUCCUCCCUUCCCCAAAAUAGCUAAUUAUAUACUGGAAGUUUCAGUACAUUGUUCACAGUUUGUGAAGUCAGCAUAUUUCUGGAAGCUCGCUGUGAAUGUAGUUCUUAGCUGUACUGAUGCUUUUGUUUCUCCAUCUCUGCAGCCAGCACUGUACUGUAAGGACACAAUUCUAUCGCUAUUUUUUCCCUCACAUUUGAUGUGGUAGUUUGCAUACAGCUGCAGAGUAGACAGUUACCUUUGAAAGGAACAUUUGGCUGCUCUAAUUUGAUUAAAGAAAACCACCUCAAUCAUUUCUAGACUGAGAACGUUUUCAUUUUAACUUGGCAGUGGGAGUUGGGAAUGUACUCACUGCACUUAGAUAUGUGGGGGAGCAGCCGGAACAAAACCAACUGCUCGAAUGGAGACAGCUUUGGUGCAGUUGUUUUUGUUGUUUUUGUUUUGUUUUGUUUUUUGGUUUUUUUUAAGGCAAGCAGUGUUAUAUAUGAUUGAUUCUCUUUCUCUCUCCCUCCCAAAUUUUCUACAGCCUUGAUUUUCACCUCUGUUCCCUUUUCACAGGCUUUUCCUUAGCAUUUCCAGUAAGCUGAUUGUGGCAGGGGUAGAAUGGUACCCUAAAGUGAUCUGAAGGACUUGGAGGUCCUCAAAAAAUUCUCCCAUUUCUAUAUAAAAAGAAAACCCCAAGUCAUAAAUGAUUAUGAGUUGGACAUGCUUUCUUGGCCACCGUUGAGUGGCUAAAAAAGGUUUUCGACCAUGCAUGCACAGACCAAGGUUGGGAAUUUAGUUGAAAGUUGCACAGAAGAGAAUUGCCUGCCGUCAGAAGCCUGCAGCCCUAGUGCUAGACUAUUAUUAAUUAUCUCACAUAUGUCUCCUUCUGAGAUAGAAGAAAGUCCGAUCACCCGGUCAGUAUGACAGUUGAAAUACAUUCUGAUGAUUGUGGGUUGGCAUCCACUUUAUCCAUGUGUUAUUGGAAACAGUUGAGCAGGGGCUUAGUCUGUAGGGUAAACCAUGAAUGAAUUCAUGAACCACAGUUCAGCAAUGUAAGAUAUGGUGCUCUUGGGAAGGUACUAUGGUGGCAUCCUAAAAAGUUUGUGAAAUUUUAAAUAAAAAGUAUGAGGGUACACAUGGAGUCUUGGAAAUACAACCACAUUAUUAUUAAUUGAGCCUUGGAUAUUAUUGAUAACCUAAGAGUCGAAGUCAAAUGUGGGCUCACAUUCACAUUCUCCCCCAUGACAGUAUGACUUGACCACAUUAUACUUCUUACCUGUCUAAGCUUUAGUUUCUUCAUUUAUAAAAUUAGGACACAUAUUAAAUUAUGUUUCUGAAUUUAGGUUCCUGUUACGUGUUUGACACUUGGCAAAUACUUAGUUACCUCACUGCCUCUUCCUCUCCUCCUUGGUAUCACCAUUCAACUACUUGGAAUGUUUUGAGGGAGAGUGGUGUUGUUCAUGGAAUGUGUGGCCAAACUCAGCAAAGUCCUCUUGAAAUUCUGAUAUUAUGUGCAGCUCUCACUCUCUUAGACAUAAAUUAUUAAGGCUAGCAGGACUCUGUCAAGUCCACCUAGCUUUCCUAUGGAUAAUAAGCCCUAGGCAGACAUUAUAUCAGGUACUAGUUAAGAUACGAGCACAGUGGAUAUGGAAAUUGUUCAGCAAAUGUUAGCUGUUGGAUAGAGUUAUGUUGUCAUCUUAAAUUCUUUUCCAUCUUGUGUCAUCUCUGGGUGCAAAAAUCAUUUCCACAUUUAAUCUCAAGGUUUAAUGAAGUCACCCUGGUCUGUUCUUCCUUUUGAGAGUUAAGGCCAAGAGGCAAUCUUCCUGUUUUGUUUUCACACACAGUCGGGAGAAUGUAAAUCUUUUUAGUCACGUCUGGGUCAUCUAAGUGUACAAAGACUGAAAAGGGACUGAAAGGUAAUUGUCCAAAGGCCACGGCUACAUCUGGAUUUGGCGACCCAAGAUUUCCAGUAGAUACAGCUUGGUAAAUGUAGUUGAAUCCCUGGCGAGCUCACAAUGCUGAUUUGUUCCAUAAUAUAACUGAAAAAAUUACCUCAAUGCAAUAAAAUUUUUUGCAGAAAGUAAUGCUUGCUGUGUUUGUUUUGUUCAGUUACCAAAAUUAUAACAUUAAACAAGAUUUUAAAAGUUAAUUACCAGUGAUUGAGGAAAAGUUGAUUUAAUUUGAAUACGUUUUGGAGACCUGUAGAGAUUCUGCAGAGAAAUGCUGAGGACUAAUUCUUGAUGUCACUUCAAACUUUCUUUUUCCUCAAUAAAGUAUUACUGUGAUAUUUCUCAUAUAUAAUCGCCUUUUAAAAAACACACUUUUAUAUAGCCCAGUACUACUGAAUACUGUCCAUGUCCUGCUGUUAGUGUUCCCAGAUUUGUCUUCUUGUGUGGACUCUAAUCUGGGUGACAAUGUAAACAUUCAAAUCCAGUGAAAUUAUUGAAUGUGUCUAAUGAAUUGCGUGGAGCCUGAGACCAAGAUUUGGUUUUAUUCCGUUUUUUAAUAAUGAAUGUCUAAUUCCUUUUUGCCCACGUGGUGGUUGUCUACUUAAGUGCUAUUAAUAGAGUUAUUCUCACAGCUGGGGGGAUUGUUAUUCCCAUUUUAUAGAUAAUGAAACUGACACAGAAUUUAAAUGUCCUGUUCAAGGUCACCUCGACUCCAGGUGUUAUUUCCCACAUCUUAGGGUUUUCUGUCUAGUACUACAGGUGUUUUAGUCAUGCCGGGAUCAUUUGGAUAUGACUGUUUUGGUAAUGCCUGUUGGGAAUUAAAUGCAAAUAAACUGGAUGCUAGCAAGGGCACACUGAUUAUUUAAGGAGGAAACUGGCUUCUGUUACCAGGAAUUGGGGUAUAAUCACUUAAUUUGACAUAUUAAAUGCCAUCUAUAUUUUAAUUUAAUUUUUCUAACAAUUUGUUUUAAUAGUCAUACGUAGAGACAAAUGCUCAUGGAAUUGGGACUGUUAAGGGAGGUUGUUAGGGUUCAUGCUGCUCUUUAAUGUGGUAGCAGUCGGCUUUCCAGGGCCUUGCCUCCCCUAGGCAGUGAGAAAAGGAAGAGCGUGGCAGGUCAAAGGAAGUACACUCACCUCUGAACCUGGCACCAGAAGUGCUGACGAGCGUGUCACUUACGCUCCUGAUGACUCAGCACUUCCUGGUUUCUCUCUGUCGCUGUGCUAGGGCUAAUAAUAUCGAAUGACCUUGGUCCAGACUGAGCGUUUCGGGGAACCUUUGGUUUCCUCAUCAUCAGACAUUUGAAAUCAGAAAUGAUUCUUUCCUUUCUGUUGCACGUUAAAAUUAAUGGUACUAGGUAUGAGCCGUUGUAUUCUCCGAUGGAUUACGUGCUUUUUGUUCUUAAGAUUAGAAGUAGCUUUGGCUCUGGAGUAUAAUAAAUAAAUACAUCCUUACCUCUCAAUGUGAGGCAGUCCUGUUAUAUAUAAAAUUCAUUUGGUCUUUGUAUUGUUUCUGUGCAGUCCGAUGACUGGGGCAGAGGUGGAAGGAAAUGAAGUUCAAAUUACAUUUGAAGUGUAUUUGCUACAUUGAUUUUAGGCAAGGCUUAGGGACCCAAGGUGCCGAGCAGGGAGGGAAACUGGAUCUGUUCCAUCGGGACCCUCAUUGCUCUCUGAAGAGUCCAGCACAGCCCCCUCUGUGAGUGAAACCAAAUUGUAUUUACUAAUUAGAUUUAUAUUUAGAACUAGCCAAAAUUAUUAGACUAAAAAGCUAUUAGUAUUGAGACAUCUGGAGAUGAAGCAGUUCAGAAAGCCUUGAAAAUUUUAGAAAACCUUGAAAAUGUUUUAACCUGUUUCCCCGGGCUGUUACAACAUUAAUUAUAGGACAUGGUUGAGAGUUUAUCCAUGUCGACAGCCAAUUUGUUUAAAAAUUUAUGAAGCAGUUUCAAAGUUAUUUUAUACAUUAUCCAGACAUAAAGUUUCUCUAGAAAUGUUUUUAUUAUUAAAGACAAUUUUAAAACAGUAGUUUUACAGUAGUUUUAAAACAGUAGUUUACAGUGAAGAGAUACAGCAAAAAUAAUGCUGUGUUUGGGGCACCUGGGUGGCUCAGUCAUUAAGAGUCUGCCUUCGGCUUAGGUCCUGGGGUCGAGCCCCACAUUGGGCUCCCUGCUCCGCGGGAAGCCCGCUUCUCUUCCUCUUCCCACUCCCCCUGCUUGCGUUCCCUCUCUCGCUGUGUCUCUCUCUGUCAAAUAAAUAAAUAAAAUCUUAAAAACACAUAAUGCUGUGUUUAAAACAGGUAUUUAUUAUCAAAUGCUUCUCUAUGUGUUUUAAUCUUUACAGAGGCCCCUAAAUAGCAAGAAUUUAACUGCUUCUAAGUAAGCAAAAGUAAAAACUCCUACAGAAAACAUAGCCCUGACCUUUUUGCACAUGUAAUCCAAACGGAAAGUUCGCUUUGAAGUGGGGUCUUAUUACAUAAUCAUACUGAGUGUAUGCAGUAAUAUGUAUUCCUUUGAAUGUCUUUCAUUCAGAAACAUAUUUUUGUUUAUUUGACUAUCUUACCAGCUGAAAAUGGAUUAUGUUCUGGUUGUUUCAUCUAACCACCCAACUUCAAAAUACCUGAGAAAUUACAUGAAGAGCUUCAUUCCAAAGCAUAACAUUUUCAGAGAGAUUCAGACCAUUGGAAAAUUGACCAUGGAAUUUCACUCCAUAGAUGAUUAAAAUAAAAAACAAAUAAUGGGAGAAAAUAAGCAGAAUUUAGAAACCCAGGUUUUGCCAGACAGAACACCUGUCCAAUCAGCAGUAAAUUAUUUUAAAGAGCAUUUACUUUCUAGAAGGUACUUAGUGUGGGUCAUUUGUUUCAGACAUGUCUACAAGCAUUUCUACCAGACUGUUUGGCCAACUCAGCAUUAAGGAAUAGAGCAUUCAGAAGCAUCACAAAUCAUUACAAAGAGUAUGAGAAUUAUGACCAGUACAGGCAAAAACAAAUGAAACCCCUUCUUUUCUUGGGUGUUCUCUGAGAUGCUGCUAUAGGAAUCUGAGGAUGGGUAGCAUUUGCUUAAGACUCCCAAGUUUCUGGUGCUGCCCACAGUACAAAAACUGACAUUUGAUGCCUUUUGCAUUUCCUCAUCUGCUGAUUUAGUGAGCAUUCUGCAUAUUGAGAAUUUCUCUGCAAGAAAUUCUACUUAUCACUAAAAAAACUAUAUGAGAUUUUUUUUUUUAAGAUUUUAUUUAUUUGAGAGAGUGCACAAGCAGGAGUGGGGGGAGGGGCAGAGGGAGAGGCUUGGGCUGGAGCCUAGUGUUGGGCUCGAGUCCAGGUCCCUGGGAUCAUGACCAAGCUAAAGGCAGACACUUCACCAACCAACCGAGUCACCCAGGCACCCCUCCCCAUGUGAGAUUUCUAAUUUUUGUAAUUGUUUGACAUUUUUAGGGAAGUCUUUUUGUUGAGUUACCUAAUUGAGGAACACUCCAAUUAAUAAGAAAACCUAGUUAAUUGAAAGUUGUCAUCUCUUCUGACCAUUAAGACCCAUUUUCAAAGAAUUAGAAUAUGACAGAUAUGUUGAACACUAAAACUUAUAAUUUAAUACUUUGUUGAUUAUUGAGAAAGUAUUUCAAGAUUUAUACUUUAUUGUAAUCCUUCCCAACUACGGUUACGAUGAACAUGUCCUAUUUCUGCUAUUUAGAUAAUUGCAGUUAAUAAAAUAUUAACUUGGUUAUAUGACUUGGCUAUCCAUGAAAGAGGAGAGGAUGCCUUACGUCUUGUCUGUUGAAGAAACAAAAUCUAUUGUGUUACGUGUUGAUUAGAUAUAAAAUUUAUUUAUUUUUUUAAGAGAGGGAGAGGAGGGACAUAGGGAGAGAGAAUCUUAAGCAGACUCCACGCUGAGCUUGGAACCCAAUGUGGGGCUCGAUCUCACAACCCUGAGAUCAUGACCUGACCCAAAUCAAGAGUCGGAUGUUUGUCUGACUGGGCCACCCAGGCGCCCCUAAAAUUUGACUCUUUAAAUCUAGAAAUUAUGGAGGGAGAGGUUGAGAUGGAAGUAGUGAAGAGCAAGCAGGGAGUUUAGGUAAAGAAUAAACUCCUAAACACUGAGAAGACAAAUGUAUAAGACGAAGAAAAUUCUGAAUGUAUAGAGGUAAAUAAAGUAGAGAAUGACCCCACAAAAAAUAAAUUAUUUCUUAAAGUUUUGAAAUAUCAUGAGUAGGUCAAAAUUAGGAUGGCAAAAAAUUCCUGGUUCUGAGAGAGUUUCCCUAGACUAGACAGAAAUGACGUUAAAGAAAGUAGAAGGAAAGAAAAAAACACCUAAAAGUGCCAGAGAGUAAUUAAGAAUUAAAAUGAGUUUGGAUCCAAAAUUGGUGAGAGCUACAACUUCACUGUGGUUUAUCUUAAAUUGUUGACCUGUUACCCAAAACCUACAUUUGUUUGUUCUUUUCAUAUUAUGUUUUUGGUGGGAAAUAAAGUAAAUUCAUCUUACAUUCAUCAGCUUUUGGUCUUAUAGUAAAAAAAAAUGGAUAAAAAUGUUGUUCUACUUGACAUGCAAAUAAGAGUUUUUGGUCUGUUCUACAUGUAAAAUUCCUGUUGGUUUUCAUUAUUGGCAUUAUUAUAUGUGGUAUCUUGUGCCUGUUAUCCAGUUACAGACAAACUCUUGCAUAUGUUAAAACGUGAACUGACUUCUUUAAACAGAUAAGUGGUAAUCAAUUUAGGACGUUGGAUUCUUCAUUUCUCUUUCGCAUCCCCACCACUCUUCAUGUGGGAACAUGUGCGUAUCCAUUUUGCACUUAAUUGCAUGUGUUUAUAAAGACGCUAAUCAAGUGGUUAAGUAGUGAUAAAAAUAAAGGAAUAGUGGUGGUGGGGAAUCACUAAAAAACCGUCACUAACGAGUCUGCAGUUGGUAGGGGCGCCUGGGUGGCUCAGUCGGUUAAGUGUCUGCCUUCAGCUCAAGUCAUGAUCCCAAGGUGGUGGGAUCGAGUCCCGCAUCUGGCUCCCUGUCACAGCGGGGAGCCUGCUUCUCCCUCUCCCCCUCCCCCUGUUUGUGCUCUCUGUCUUUCUGUCAAAUAAAUAAAUAAAAUCUUUUUAGAAAAAUAAAUGGUCCUAGAUACAUUCUCAAAAUACAUUGUUAAAUUUGGGGGGAGUUUGGAAGAGAGAGAUAUAUACAUACAUAUUUUAAAGAUUUAUUUGAGAGAAAGCGCAUGUGCACAAGCAGGAGCAGAGGGAGAGAAACUCAAGCAGACUCUGUGCUGAGCACAGAGCCCCUGCAUUGGGCUCUGUGCUCAAUCCCACGACCUUGAGAUCAAGACCUGAGCCGAAAUCAAGAGUCUGAUGCUCAACUGACUGAGCCACCCAGGCGCUCCUGGAAGAUAUAUUUUCUAUAUAUUUUUUAAGGGGAAAAUAACUAUCUAGUUUUACUUGAUGUCGAGGAUAAGAAGCUUCUAUGGAUAGGAUAUUGUACUCAUACCUCUUUCAAGAAGGUAGGUUUUCUUAACUUUUUUUUUAGUAAAAUAUGCAUAACAUAAAAGUUACCAUUUUAACCAUUUUCAGGUGUACAAUUCAGUUGCAUUAAAUGCAUCCACAUUGUUGUGGAGCCAUCACCUCUAUCCAGCCCCAGAGUUUUAUUUCUCCCUCUCUCACAAGAAGAUAGAUUUUUGUUUAUUUUAUUUAUUUAUUUUAAGAUUUUAUUUAUUUAUUUGACAGAGAGAGAGCGCACAAGCAGGGGGAGCGGCAGGCAGAGGGAGAGGGAGAAGCAGGCCCCCCGCUGAGCAGGGAGCCCGAUGUGGGGCUCAUUCCCAGGACCCUGGGAUCAUGACCUGAGCUGAAGGCAGACACUUAACCCACUGAGCCACCCAGGCACCCCAAGAAGAUAGAUUUUUUUUUUAAAGAUUUUAUUUAUUUAUUUGACAGAGAGAGCACAAGUAGGCAGAGAGGCAGGCAGAGGGAGAGGGAGAAGUAGGCUCUCCACUGAGCAGGGAGCCCGAUGCGGUGCUCGAUCCCAGAACCGUGGGAUCAUGACCUGAGCCAAAGGCAGGCACUUAACCGACUGAGCCACCCAGGUGCCCAAGAAGAUAGAUUUUUAAAUGACAUUUUGUCACCAGAUGAGAACCAGGCAGUAGUUCAUGAUACAGACAGCAGGUUUAGUGUUAGGAAUAGAAAUAAUAGAGACCCACUAAAGCUAGCUCAAGAAAGAAGGAUAUUACUGUAAAUGCACAGGCCCUUCAUGAGAAUCUUUACACAUUUGUCUUCUUAGGACAGGGGAUCUGGACUCCAGGACCCUAUAAGGAGUGCCUGUGGUCUAUCUUGCACCAGGGAGUUGCCUCUGAGUGUUUGUCCUCACUACUUCCUGUGUGUCUUCAUACCCAGGGCUUCCUCAUAGCCUUCACAUCCAAGGGCCUGUGGUGGUCUUCACAGUUUCUGCGUCUGUGUGAGGUUUUUGGUGUGGUGCCCUGCAGCAGCAUGCAAACACUGGUUUUUAGUUCAUAUUUCAGAGAGUGUGAGGCUUGGUGUGGGGUGGGGAAACAAGCCCCAGUCUAGGAAAGACUGGAUUUUCACCCUGGUUUUCACAUGGUGAAGAAAAUUGGUUGACAUUUGAUUCUUUGUUGUGCUAGCUAACGUCUGAGUCUUUAAGAAGCAAAAUACCGUGUUUGUCAUGAAAAUGCAGCUUUAGGAUAAUUCUUUUUUUUUUUUUUUUUUAGAUUUUAUUUAUUUGACAGGGGUUUGGGGGGAGAAGGAACAAGCAGGGGGAGCGGCAGGCAGAGGGAGAAGCAGACUCCCUGCCUAGCAGGGAGCCUGAUGCAGGACUCGACCCCAGGACCCUGGGAUCAUAACCUGAGCCCAAGGCAGACGCUUAACCGACUGAGCCACCCAGGCGCCCUGCUUUAGGAUAGUUCUUAAAUCGUUUUGAAUUUUGACUAAGCGUUUCAAAGCCAUAUGUAUGUUCCUAAACAGGUUUACAAUUGCAUGCCAACACCUAACAGUAGCUUUUAGCGAUAGACACUUGAAGAAGUUUCAACUUGAGAACACUGAAGAUGUUCAUGAAGAGUAGGUUGCAUGGAUGAGCAUAAUCAGUUCCUGGCCACAGCAAUGCAUAGAGCUUACUCAUUCUGGCGGGAAAGUCAUGCUCUUCAGAUUGAAAAAUUGGAACAUCAUUACAGAAAAUGGAUUUUUAUUUUAAACCAUUGAGCAGAAAUGCUGCCUGGCUUCAUGAUGACUAGAAGACACCUUACGUAUAAUUAACUCAGUGGCAAAUGCUUUUAUCAACACACCCAAAUGAGCAGCAUCUCUUCUGAUGCUGGAUGACUUGAGCUCAGAGCUCAGAGAAGGGGCAACAUGGCGGCGAUGCUGGAGGGGCAGGCUCCACAGAUCAGCUUCCGACCCCUCCCAGGUUUAGCCCUGCCACUCUGUAUGUGCCUACUUUGGGGGCACUGGUUAUGUGACCAGUUCUCUUCCACUGAUGCUGUAAGCACCCUUGAAUUGAGAGAAAGGGCUAUAUGUUUUUUAGAGUUGAAGAAAUUACAGACUUUCAGAGCUACUCAUUCAUUUGUUCAGUCUUUGAACCGGGAUUAUCUGUACAAGCACUGCUUGACCAGUAUUUCUCUCCCAAGAUCCCAUUACAGCAGUGGUCUUCAGCUGGGAGCAGUUUUACCUCUUGGGGGAUAUUUGGCAAUCUCUGGAUGCAUUUUCUUUGUCAUGGCUGGGGAAGGGUAUUGGUACUAGCAUCUAAUAGGGGAAGGUCAUGGAUUCUGUUAAAUAUCCUGCGAGGCACAGGACAGCCCCUACUGCAAAGACAACGCAAAAUGUUGAUAGUGCUGAGGUUCAGAAGGCCUGCAUUACAGAAAAGCACUGGUUAACAUCAAUUUGUAGGAGGCAAAAGAUAGUAAAAGUUGGUGGUAUAAAUUAGGGGAAACACAGAGGCCCAACACUAUUUAGCAUUGAUAAGGUUAACAUUCAUCUAAUCAGCACCCUGAUGUUAGUCUUUCCCUUACCAUCAAUGGGUGAGAAGAGGAAAACCCAGAGUAGGGAUAACUUUCUUCCUUACUUGUUUAAUUGGGAGCGAGAUGAGAUGGCUGAGAUGAAUGGAGCUAAGGUCAACUGGAAAAUUUGGGAUUUCCUUAAGAGUGUGGUUUGGGACUGGAAUCCACGAUGAAGGGCAGAACUAAAAGGUUGUUGCAUUUGUCCGUUUACUGAAUUUUCAUCAGUUUUAUUUUAGUCCUGCUAGGGAAUCCGAGGUUUCUGAAAAAGGACUAAGGAAGUGGCACAGCUCCUUUGACCCUUCCUUACAAGAGGAUACACUUAUCCUCAAGUGAAGAAAGCCUCAGGUAGUUCCAGACAACUGACACCUCUGAUUAGAGCCCUCUCCAGCUUCUGGAUGCAUCGCCUCCUGUCUAUUCUUUACUGUCUUUCGUAUCACAGUGCCUGGCCUAUCAGGUUUUAUGGUUUUCCUUCCAAUGCCUCCAUUUAUAAAAUGUCAUUAACCCAUAUGAGGGGAUUAAAUAAAAUAACCAGUGGAGAAGAACUCCCAAGAUGAAUUGAAGUGAGUGAUUCUGAAGUUUAUGAGUGUGGUAGAUGGCAUCGAUAGGUUGAGUCUUCACCUGUUUUUCUCUUCCUCUAGACUUGACCCUGGAAGAUUAGUUUCCCUUCUACUUGACGUGGUCUGAUAUUAACCAAGUCCGAGAGGUUUACCUGUAGAGUAUGCACUUGUCUUCAGAGGUUAGGCUCUGAUCUCAUCAGCUCCAUUAAGAGCAUUUCUGGAAAUGUAAGCCUUCGUUGAUCAUUAAGUUUGUUCCCCCUGGUUUAACUCUGUGUUCUGUCUUGUCCUGUGGGGCCCGGGCUUAUGUCACAUGUGCAUGUCUUCUUCCCUCAACUCUAAUGAAAGAUCUUUGUGGAUAGAGCUCACGACUUUUUCUUUGGUGGUUAGCAUGCUGCUGAGCAUACUGCAGGUGCUUAAUAAAUGCUUCUUUGGUGGGAUUGUGUGAGAUAAUUCUAUCUCUUUAGAAAUUACAUCAGAAUAAUAUGCACAAAGGCAGUCACAAUGAUGGGGUAUUAAAAAAACUUGAAAAGAUUAAUUACUACCAGCCAUCCUAACAUGGGGUAACACGGGGAACGGUAGCUUUUAAAAAUAGUAUGAGAACAUAUGCAGAAGUGAACACUAUCCCUCAAUAGCAGUAGUUUCUCAACCGAGGGAGAUUUUGCACCCAGAGGACAUUUGGCAAUGUCUGUAGAUAUUUUUUGGUUGACAGUUGGAGGGAUACUAUUGGUAUCUAGUGGGUAGAGCCAAGUAUGCAGCUAAACACCCUAAAUGCACAGGCCGGUUCCCCACAACAAAGAGUUGUCUGGCCUCAAAUGUGAAUAGUGGCCUGGUUGAGACAUCCCAGUGCAUAGCCUUGUGUGGACACCACCAUGAACGUCCUUUACCACCUAAAGGAAUGAGAACAAGCAAAAAAACAGUGCCUAUUUUUAUAUGGAAGAAACUAUUAUAUAUUAUAAACUCCUAAACAGUGCGAACUGCAGCUAUAUACAUAAACCAGAAUGAUCUGACAGUUAAAAAGAUGUGUGAUAGCUGCUCAUGUAAUAAACGGCGCUUUAUGUCUUUGGCCGUGACUUUGGGAGGAGAGGACAGUAAGUUGAAAGAAUUCUCUUAAGGGUGUAUGCACCUUUCCAUGGUUUUAGAAAAUGAUGGGCCUUUGCUAACCCAGAAAGAUGUAUUUGAACAUUACAUUUUUGAAAGUCACAUUUUUAAUACGCUGGAAUUCCUCCGACAGGUUUGAUAGUUAGAAUGCUGUGAAGCAUGCGUCCUUCUGUUUUUUCAAAUAUUUUUAAAGCUUCCUUGAAGAAUGCUUGAUAAUUUUUAAGGUAUAAGAAUAAUGUGCUUUCCCUCCUGAAAUUAACUUUGGGAGGUACUUUUGCUGCAUUCAGUGGCAGAAUGGUACAGUGGGAAGGACCGUUCACAGAGGGAUCCUAGAUGGGUCACCUUAACCAUGCCCACCCCACAACCCCCACCCCCCAGUUUGCUCAUUUUCAAAAAGGAGGACUAAGACUUGAUGACCUUGGCUUUAAAAUUCUAUGUUCCUAUAAUUUUAGUAUCAAAUAGUAAAAAAAGAGAUUGUUUGUGCAAAGUUUUUUAUGAGAGAAAUUUUGAAGGCAUAAAUUAUUCCAGUUUGUUUCUUAGAAACUGAAGAAAUAAUCCUUUUCUACAAAGGCUCACUCCCAGUGUUUAAAGAAAGAAAGGAAUUCCUGUUAUAAGUAAACGUUGUCCCCACCUCCAAACAAAAUAAAAAGGGUCAAGUAAAAUUUACAACUGAUUUUAAAAUGUCAUUGUUAGCUAAUUUUGAAAAUUUUUGCCUAUUUUCUUCUAUGUGUUUAUACUUAAGUAUAAAGAAAACAUUUUAAUAGUACUAAUAAUGCUGAGUUUUUCACACUAGCUUCCAGAAAAUUGCUGUUUGUAGAGGUGUAAAACACAUUUGAAAGCUUUAUUAAGGUUUUUAGUCUACCAUUUAGUAAGUUAUUGGGCUCUGAAUGAAAGGAUGAAGCUUUCCUGUUUGCUGCAUGGAAAAUUAAAUGGAACCUUGAAAUUUCCUCCUUUUUCCUAAAGUGGCAAUUGAGAUAUUCACAAAAUUGAGGAUGUUAUAAUAUGCCAAGAAAUGAAGCUUGCUUUUGUGGUGUCUCUAUUCUGAAGAGACUGGGAAUUUGGUUCUGGUAUAUUCCAGUUUCCACAGGGGCGUAUUCUAGAACUCGGUAUCAGGAUUGCCUGAGUUGAAGAUGCUUUUUGGAUGGACCCAAAGAUGCUAAGGCAUCCAGUUACAGUUUGGAUCUCAUUCCCAGAGUUAAUGUUGCCUACAGAGAAUCGCAGUAUGUGACAUGGGAUACAUUCAUAAAAUAGUGUCUUUCCACCUAGCAGAGGUUAACUGAGAACCUCUUUCCACCUAGCAGAGGUUAACUGAGAACCUCCUGAGUGCAAGGUACUUAAUAUAAACAAUAUGUACAGUGGGGAAUCAAAAAGUGUAUUAACGGUCCCUAUUUUCAAUGAGUUCAUGACCUAGCAGGAGGAAAGACAGAAGGGACCCAUGCAAACUACUAUAAUACAAAGAAUAAAGUAAUACGGACCAUUCGGAGUCACAGAUACAAUUCUAGGCUACCUCAGAAGAAGAAAUUGUUUAACUUGUGGGAGCAAGAAAGUUAGACUCCACAGAAGAGGUGAACAAUGAGCAGAAUCACAAAAGUGGAGAUGAAUGACGUAUGAUGCAUGGCAGAUGAGUCUGAGGUGUUGAGUUGACCAGAGCGAGAGGGGAAAGGAAGGAAGUAGUAGAGAUACGCACAAGUGAUGGGAAUAAUAAGAGAAUAAUAGAAUAAACCAGGUUGAAAUAGAAUCUAGAGACAAGCAAACUAGUUAGGAGAUGGACCAUUUCUUGGGGAGAGAGAAAAAAAAUGGUGGCCUAAAUCGGGAUAGUUUCCCCGAAAUGAGAGGAAAGUAUGAGAGAGUUGAGUGCAAGAAUUGGCCAGUCUGGGUAGCUGGUUGGGUGUGUGGGUGAGCAGGGCCAUAGAGUCAGCAAGAUGAAUUGGGGUUGGUUAGCCUGAGUAAGAGAAUGGUGGUCUACUCUUAGAAAUAGGACUCCCAGGAGAAGGGGUGGGUUUGAGGGACACCAAUGAGUUCUGUUUUGAACACGUUAAGUUAUAUGUGCUCUCAGGAAGUAGCCAAGGCAGAGUUAUAGUUGAAGUACAGGAAAUUGCAAGCUCCAGAGAGGAAUCCAGAAAACCUGUAACAUUCUUAAAGGAGACAUAGAUCUUUUUGAGUCCCACAUUUGGAAUACCAUAUUGUGCAUAAUGUGUCCCACCACAGGGAGCAACCCACAAACACCCCAUGUGCAAACUGAGCACACGAGUAGGCUUGUGUCACCAGCUAAAAUUAAAAUGCCUUGUUAACACACACCAGUUUUCACAAGCACAGGUUUUUUUCAAAUCAUGCCUCAAACAAUUGCUGUCCGUAGUUGAUCUUGAGGUCACUGUCAAAUUGGAUACAACAUAUUAAAUCAGUGACUGAGCAAGAGCACCCAUAUGUUGAGGGAAGAGUAAGACUGAGAAUGGAACCUCAAGAUUACCUGCAUUUAGGAUUGAAAGAGAAAAAAGAGUCAGAGAAGAAGGCAGAGACCAGAGAAGGAGAGGGAGAAAAGCAAGAUAAUUCAGGGAAGUCUUGGGAGGGGAGAGUUUCAAGGAGAAGGAGGCAUUUCCUUCAGGUAUCUCAAGUGCUGCCAAGAGGUUGAAAAGAUUGCAUUUAGUAGUGGGAAGGUAGCAGUAUCUCUCUGAGAGACAGAUUUUGCUGGAAGAGAGAGAAAGGGGGGAAGCCAGGUCACAGAUAACAAAGGAAUGAGAAAGUGUAGCACAGAGUAGACUAUCAUUAAGUAAAUUGAGGGGAUGAAAUGUUGUUAGAAUGACAACCAGGUUGAAAUAAAAGUGGUUUAACUUUUUUGGUGUCAUUAUACAAAGGAAAUAUGGGUGUGUUUGUAGAUGCAGAGGAGAGUUUGGAGAGGAAUGAUAAAGAAUAAAAACUGAGGGGCUCCUGGGUGGCUCAGUCGGUUAAGCGUCUGCCUUGGGCUCAGGUCAUGAUCCCAGGGUCCUGGGAUCAAGCCCUCUAUUGGGCUCUCUGCUUGGUGGGGAGUCUCCUUCUCCCUUAAGUUCUCUGUGUGUGCUCGCUCGCUCUCUCUCAAAUAAAUCUUUUUAGAAAAAGUAAAAAUUGAUGAAAUGAGGACUUAGCAGAGGGUGGAGGGCACAGUUGGUGGCGGGAUACCUUUUCUUGGAGAGGAGGAUACUUUCGUCUGAAACAUGAGGGAUAGAAGACCCAGGAAUGAGGCAAAUGGCUUUGAUUUUCUUCUCUUACAAGAAAAGACCAUAUGCAGAGAGCAGGGAGGAAUUGGGAGCCCUAAGUGAAGGCUGAAGGAAGUGUCUGGAAUUAGGCAGAGAGGGUGGAGGAAGAAAAGCCACAUGUUGAAGACCAGGAAGUGGGAAAAUUGGGUGUCCUAAGAGGGUGGAAGAAUCUAAAGUGAUUAACAUCCCUGAAGCCCCUUAGCCAUAGAGAGAGUGUCCUUCAUUCAGCUAUAAAUGAAGGCUUUAUAAUGUGCUAAAGGUAUGCAUCAAGAGAAGCCUUAUGCUUUAAAAAAAAUUGUUCUAAUAUGUGAAAUAAAAACUAAAAUUCUUAAGAUUAAGUCAUACUCAUCAUCAUCUCACAACUAAUCUUUAAUUGAACACUUAACAUGUCCCAAGCCCGAUUUUGCCUAUCAUGAAUGGUUUCAUCUUUACAGCAACCCUGCUGAGUUUACCUUAAAGUAAGUAGUUUCCUUGUUUUGUAUUCUUUGUUUAUUGUUUAAAAGCUAGACGUGUGUGUGUGUGUAUAUAUAUAUAUAUACACACACACACACACACACAUAAUAUAUAUACACACAUCAUUUUUUGGCAUAUGCUAAGAGUGGAUUAAUUAACUUAUGUGUACACACUUCAAAAUUGGGUAUGAUAUUUGUAAAAGGGUGAUAUAUUUUAUAAAAAUAUAGAUAUAAAGUAUUUUUAAGAACUCUUCAUAAAAGAGCUCAGUUUGUCAAUUAUGCUCAUUCAGCAGCACAUAUACUAAAAUUGGAGUGAUACAAAGAUUAGCAUGGCCCCUGAGCAAGGAUGACACGCAAAUUCGUGAAGCUAUCCAUAUUAAAAAAAAAUUAAUGCACUCGACUGGGCUUAGUAAGAGUUGGGUGAGCCUUCCAUAAAACAGUUACUAUUUGUUGAAUUUCUUUUUCCUCAAAAUGUUAACUUAGAGUUGAAAUGCAAAAGAAGAGAUUUGAUACAGCAUUUUGACAUUUGACAUUUUAAAGUAAUUUCAUUAGAUCAUCAAGCUCUGAAUUAUUGAAGAUUGUUCUACUGUAAACAGUUCUUUCCAUUAUCUUUCUUUGAAUUAGAAACAAGUUGCUUGCCAUCUGCCUGCAAAAAGAUAAAUGUAUUAUGCGCUAAAAUAUACAAAGAUUUUGGCAUUAUGUCUUCUCUGCUUUUUAUUAAUGAAUGCUUUUGUUUAGUCUUACAUCAGACCGAAUAGAACAGAUUUGUGUUUGGAAUAGUUUAAAGCCAGGAACAAAAUUCUCUGUAACCGCGUUGACAAAAAUUCGAAUCUCACCCGGGAAGAGUCAUUUUCUUUUUUUUUUUUUUAAGAUUAUUUAUUUAUUUAGGGGCACCUGGGUGGCUCAGUUGGUUAAGCGACUGCCUUCGGCUCAGGUCAUGAUCCUGGAGUCCCGCAUCGGGCUCCCUGCUCGGCAGGGAGUCUGCUUCUCCCUGACCCUCCUCCCUCUCAUGCUCUCUGUCUCUCAUUGUCUCUCUCGCAAAUAAAUAAAUAAAAUCUUAAAAAAAAAAAAAUUAAAAAAAAAAAGAUUAUUUAUUUAUUUAUUUGACAGAGAGAGACAGCGAGAGAGGGAACACAAGCAGGGGGAGUGGGAGAGGGAGAAGCAGGCUUCCCGCUGAGCAGGGAGCCCGAUGCGGAGCUCGAUCCCAGGACCCUGGGAUCAUGACCUGAGCCGAAGGCAGACGCCUAACGACUGAGCCACCCAGGCGCCCUGGAAGAGUCAUUUUCAAUCUUAUUUCUACCCCAGCACACCCAAGGAAGGAAGUAGACUCCCAGAGUGGCUCCCAAAGACAGUGAUUCCAGUCAUGUGGAGACAGUUUUGCUGCCUGCUCUAUCUCCAGUGUUGGUGCAUCCAAAGUGCCCAAGAACCUACUCUUGAUUAAUUGGCUGGUUCUCAGUGGAGGGUGAGGAAGAGGUGUUUGACAAGGCCCACAAGGGAUUCUGUAUUAUUUAGUCCUCACCCUUCAGCAUUACCCACCCCAUGAGGCAAUUCAUAAUUAAAACAUUUCAGUAUAAACCAAGUCUAGUAUUAGCCUUCUCAAAAGUGCUUCUAUGUGCUGCCCGAAGAGAUUGUCGCUUUCGAAGUUCUUCUAGCAAACCCGGGUAAAUAUGUGCUGAGGUAUUGUCCUUAUUCUUACAGUGUAAAGAUUGCAUGAAUUAGAAGUCAAAAUGCAGAAACAUUCUGUGACAGUGUGGAGAAAAAGUAUGUCUCAAGGUCAAGGUAACCACUGUUGCCUUUUCAGGAGUCAGUCAGAAUGAUGGCUGGCUGCCCAGAGACAGGGAGCCAAUUCUGUGGUGUGGUUGCCAUGUUCCAGGAUCUGCCUGGCAUUAAAGGCUGGAAGCCCAAUUUUAUUAGUAUACCUAGAGGGAUUGAGAGUCCAGGGAUGACCGACUCAUGCCAGCCUCAUAAGAAACCGAGGUUUGAACCAAAAUGUUGAUUUAGUCUUUUCCAAUAAAAGCUGUACUUUUCGAGUGUGCUCAGAUCUGCCAACCAAGGCAUUGCCUUCCCUGCGUGCUUAUCUGUGGGAGAGCCGGAUUAUAGUGGGACCGUGGCACCGUGCGUGUGGGACCCAUGCGGGGAGCAGGCUGAUGAUCUUAAUGUCUGAUGGCCUCCAGCCCUGUGCUCAGUGCACCCGUUUUGACUGUAGGGGAGGAAGUUCUGUUUGUCACACAGACUCCCUCACCUGUGACAGGGUCUGAGCCACACUGCCAAGUGGGGUCUUUUCCAGAGUUUGCUUUUGUAAAGAUGAAAUAUCGGCAUUUUGUAGAAGUAAGUUCGAUUGAUUACACUGUGCUCUGUUAGUUGCUGUCACAGCUCUGUCCCUUAGAUUUGAAACACUCCUCGUCUCUCGGGGCUUUGCUGUCGGCAGCUCAUCCUCAACACUUACGCUGUGAUUUUCCCAGCUUCUCUCUUAGAGUUGUCCCUUCAUUUGAAGGAACAGGGGCUAACACGUUUUCUGUCCCACGUCCUACUUAGGCAUACUUUUGUGUCUCUUCAUUCAACGGAGAUCCCGGACUGAAAACUAACCUCCGACAGAUAACUUUUUGGCAUAUCAUUUAACAGUGGCAUUUGAAAAAUGUGCAACUGGUAUAUAAGUGAAGUACUUUAGAGUUCUCUAGUAUUUUUCUUACCUCCGUGGUUAACAAGUACUAAAUUCUAAAUUCUGUACUUUGCUGUUUUAGAAUUUCCAUGGAUGAUUUUCUUUUGAGUAUCUAAAAAAUAACAUGUAUCUAUUUAAGGGGGAAAUGUCCUACUCUUACCAACUCAGUUUUUCUUUAAGAAACCGCUAUUCUAAUUCUGAAAGGGAGUAUAUGCUGUAUCUGAAAAACAUAGAGAAGUGAAAUAUCAAAGAAGGAGGUCAGAAACAAUAAAAUACAGUAAAUAAACAAUAUUUAUACAUUUAGCCACUUGCAAAAUAGGGUUAUAUCUCAGGUUAUUCUGUAAGGAUGGUUAGAAAGACUGAGAAGAGACCGUGAACUAUCAGGUGUAUUAUCCUUUUAGCGUGUCAGAUCAGGUCAGUAAAAACGUGACCUCAUAGAGCAACUUGUUACCUGCUCAUUUCUCUGUUAGUUAAAGGGGGCUGUGUAGCCAGUUUCGCUUUUUGGUUUUACUUUUAACAAAGAAAUAGAAGCUUAAGAGGGCAGUGAUUAAAUAUCUACAUGUCUGUAACCUUUUAGAAGUUGUAUAAGUAUUGUCUGUUCCCGGGGUCAUAUUUUUCAAAACUAUUGUUCAUUACCUAAAAGAAUGAAAAUAUUUUAAGUGAUAUCCUAUUAACAGCCAGGAAACACUUGUCCUGACAUUAGUAGAUUCGUGUUUAGCAGGCCAGUGCUGAGCUCUAACCUUUGUAUAUACUACUUCCAUAUGCAUAAUGUAAAAAUCUGUAAAAUUCUGACCCAAGAGAAACUGGUUACAUUAAAAUAUAUGGGUAGUUGUGCUUAGAGAAUUGGACAGAAUCACGGAUGGGUUUAUUGGUGUGUCAAGAUUGAGACUUGGAAGAAACUGAAAGAUCAAAUGUGUGCUAUGGCGCAGGUUAGUUAUCUUUUAUUGUUUUCAUAGUGCUCUGAAUCCAAAUUGGGGCAGGGCUUACCUCGGAUGUGAUUUAGGAUAUUGAAGUUGUUUGUUUCAGGAAGUUCUCUUUCUGUAGUUCCUUGGAAAUUUUUCAAGAUGUUGGAAGAGUAAAACAUGUUGUUAUGUUAAAACAUUUUGUGACCUAGUUCUGGCCUAAGUAUAGUUUUGUACAGGCAAAUACACAGGGGAUUUAGGCUUUUACUCUAAUAGCUAAAUGAACUCAAAUAUAUACUGAAUGUAAAUUGCUUUGAAGGCGAUGGAUCACAAGUUAAUAGAUUCUGGACCUUGUUUUUCCUUUCAUGAGCAAGACAUUCCUUGGAGUUAAGGGGAGAUUUAUAUUAAAGAGUAGCAAAUUGUUUCCCUCUUUUGGAAAUAAGCAAAAUCACCCUCUGAUGAUAAAAUAUUUCUUUAGCCUGUCCAGAUAGUUACUGAGGAAAGAAGCAGGAGGGGGGAAAUGAGGAUAACUUAUUUAGUAGCUUACUGUUUAGGAAAUGAAAUAUAUUUAAUAAAAGUGCAAUUGCCUUAUAAUACCAUGUGACUCAAAAAUAAUGAGACAAAGAAAAAAAUGAAAGACACCAUACUAGAACUUACAUGACCAAAUAAAUCUUGUCCCACAGGAGGUAGUCCAGUUUUUCUAGCUCUGUUCUAAUUGAACAAAACAUUUUCAGACUCUUUUGGAAUUGUCUUCAGAACUGUUUUAUGAGCCAAACCCCAAAAUCAACAUCUUUACUUUAUUAUCACACCUCUUUUUGGACCCAAAAGAAUAUUACUCAGCCUGAUCCCCCACUUAAUUUAUCAGACUUGGCUCAGGCUAUUUCCAAAAAUACAGUGUGCUCUUUUAUAGGACAAUCGAAUAUUUUUAUUCAUUUGUUUAUUCAUUCAGUGAUGGAGGCUCAGCGCCUCCAGUGAGUCAGGUAUGUUGUGGUGACACAUAGGAGUCUGGGUCUGGAAGUGGGAGGGGAGAAGGGAGACAAGUGAGGAUCACAGAAGAUGCUCACCCCUCAGUAGCCUUUGCAGAUGAGCAGGAGGUUACCAGAUGGACAGAGGAGAGCUUUGUAGAUGGAGGUAUCAGGCACAGAGCAAAAAUCACGCACAUUUCAGGAACUGCAAGUAUUUCAGGAUGGGUAGAAUCUAGUUAAAAGAUGAGAAUGAGGGGCGCCUGGGUGGCUCAGUCGGUUAAGCAUCUGCCUUCAGCUCAGGUCAUGAUCCCCGGGUCCUGGGAUCGAACCCACGGUUGGGCUUCCUGCUCAGUGGGGUGUCUGCUUUUCCCUCUCCCUCGGCCCCUCUCAUGUGCUUUCUCUCUCUUGCUCUGCUCUUUUUCUCAGAGGAAUAAAAUUUUUUUUUAAAUGAUGAGAAUGGAUUGGUAAUUGGGGCGAGAUCGUGAAGGCCUUAGUAAGCCAUGGGAUGGAGGAUACAGUGGUUAAGAGUGAGGGUUCUCCUGCCUGAUUAUCUGAGUUCAAAUUCUGGCUCCUUCAUUUAUAAGCUUUAUGACACUGGGCCAUCUCUGAAUCUUCCAGCCUUAGUUCUUUUCAUCUGUAAAAGAGAUGAUACCUACUUUAUAGGGUUAAGAGGUUUAAGUACGUAGACACAGAUUAAGUUCUUUUAGAAAUUUAUUAUUUAUUUAAUUUUUUUUCAGAUUAAGUUCUUAGUACCAUGCCUGGCAUAUAGUAACCACUCAAUAAAUGUUAGGUUUUUAUACUGUUCCUUUUUCCUGUGGGCAAGAAACAAUAAUGGAAGUAUUUUAAACAGCAGAAUAUACUUUUUUGCUUUGUGUAGCAUUUGCCUACUCACUUCUUGAGAUAGUCUCUUCCCUUGUUUUUUUUCUUUUUCAAAUAGCUUUUUGACAAGUAAUUGAUAUGCCAUACAGUUUACCCAAUUGAAGUGGGUGAUUCGUUGAUUUUAGUAUAUUCACAGGUUGUGCUAACCCAUCACCAUAAUCUAAUUUUAGAACAUUUUCAUUCCCCCUAAAAGAAGCCUCAUCCCCAUUAGCAGUCAAUCCCCAUUUCUUCUAUCCCCCUGCUACCGCUCAUCCUAGGCAACCUCUAAUUUACUUUCUGUUCUUAUAUUUGCCUACUCUAGCCAUUUCAUAUGAAUGGAAUCAUUCAAUAUGUAGUCUUUUAUGACUGGCUUCUUUGACUUAGCAUAAGGUUUUCAAGAGUUAUCCACAUUGUAGCAUGUAUCAGUCCUUUUUGGUGACUGAAUGCUAUUCCACUGUAUGUAUAUUACACAUUUUAUUUAUUCCUUCAACCUCUGAUGGACAUUUGGGUUGUUUCCAUUUGUUGGCUAUUAUGAAUAAUGGAGCUGUGAACAUUCCUAUACUAGUUGUUGGGUGGACAUAUGUUUUCAUUUCUCUUAGGCAUAUAUUGAGGAGUAGAAUUGCUAGAUCAUAAGUUUGAGGAACUGCCAAACUCUUGCAGAGUGGCUGUACCUAAUUACAUCACUAAUGUAGCACUAUAUGAGGGUUCCACUUUCUCUACAUCUUUGCCAAUAUUUUUAUUAUCUUUUUAAUUUUAGCAAUCUUGGUAUAUAUGGUUUUGCUUUGCAUUUCUUAGUGACUAAUGAUGUGUGAACAUCUUCUCCUGUGCUUUUUGGCCCUUAUUCUAUCUUUAGAGAAAUGUCUAUUCAAAUCCUUUGCCCAUUUUUAUUUUACUUUAUUUUCACGUUUAUUGAGGUAUAUUUCACAACCUUGGCCCAUUUUUAAGUUGGGUUAUUUGUCUUUUGAUUAUUGAGUAGCAAGAGUUUUUAAUAUAUUCUGGUUGCAUGUCCCUUACCAGAUAGGUGAUUUGCAAAUAGUGUGUCCCAUUCUUUGGGCUGUCUUUUCAUUUUCUUGAUGAUGUCCUUUAUAGCACAGAUGGCUCUAAUUUUGAUGAAUCCAAUUUACCUAUUCUGUCUUCUGUUGUUUGUGCCUUUGGUGUCGUAUCUAAGAUAUCAUUGCCUAACUCAGGGUCAUGGAGCUUUACUCCUAUGUUGUUUUCCAAGAGUUUUAUAGUUUUUAGCUCUCACAAUUAGGUUUGUGAUCCAUUUUGAGUUCAUUUUUAUGUAUGUUGUGAGGUGUAGGGGUCCAACUUCAGUAUUUUGCGUGUGAAUAUCCAGUUAUCCUGGCAUGAAUCGUUGAAAAGUGUAUCCUUUCCCCAACUUUUUGGCACACUUGUUGAAAAUCAGUUGAGCAUAAACAUGAGAGUUAAUUUCUGGACUCUUCAUUCUAUUCCAUUGCUCUGUACGUGUAUCUUUAUGGUAGUACCAUACUGUCUUGAGGAUAGUAGCAUAGAGUAAGUUUUAAAAUUGAGAAGUCCUCCAACUUUUUCUUUUUCAAGAUUAUUUUGGCUAGGGAGCACCUGGGUGGCUCAGUCAUUAGGCAUCUGCCUUCCGCUCAGGUCAUGAUCCCGGGGUCCUGGGAUCGAGCCCCACAUCGGGCUCCCUGCUCAGCGGGAAGCCUGCUUCUCCCUCUCCCACUCCCCCUGCUUCUCCCUCUCCCACUUCCCUCUCUCGUUGUCUCUCUCUCUGCAAAGUAAAUAAAUAAAAUCUUGAAAAUAAAAAAAAAUUAAAAAAAUUUUUAAAGUAUAUAACUUUUGAUUUUUGCAGUGUCACUUAGAGAAAUUUAUCAUAAGGUAACGAGACAAUGUUACAAGAAUAGGGGAAUGGUUUAAUAAGCUACAUAAAUUUAGUGCAAUUUAAAAUGGUUUUAUUAUAUAUAAACAUGCAUAUAUAGAGACUUGUGAAAGCGUUUGGUACAUGGUGAAAUUUUUUAAUUGCAAAACAUUUAUGUAAAGUGUGAUUCUCUUUUUGUUGAACAACAGUAGAAAAUAAGCUCCAAGGGAGCAGGGAUCUUGUCUCAUUGACAUUGAUAUCCCCAGAAGAGAGUAGGAGCUCAGUAAAUAUUUGUUGGUUGCAUUGGUCUCUCUCUUUACUGCUUCUCUUGCCUUAGUCUAUCUCUGUUUCUUACCUGAGCUUUUGCAGACCCUACCAACUUGUUUUCUUCGCCUCCAGUUUUAUCCCCUACAGUCCAACUUCUGUUCUACAGUCAGAGUGGUAUUUCCAAGUGGUACAUCUGGCCAUGACAUUGCCUACUGAAACAUCCUUUGGUUCUUCCCCAGUGCUCCUAAGAUAAUUUCCAGACUUCCUAGCCUGGAUUACCAACCCCUUCGUAAUUUCACUUCUGUGUACUUUUCCAGCUCUUCUCUUGCCAUUUUCCAAGAUAAUCACCAAGUCAUGCCAAACUAUCCACAAUUCCCCAAAUAUGAAUUUUCCUGCGUACCUACAUACCUUUGGACAUACUGUUCCUUCUCCUCAGACCAUGCCAAACUUCCCGUGUUUAUCUGGCAAAUUCCAGAUCAUCCUUUGAGAUUCUGAGCCCCAGCUACAUCCCCUCUAGGCACAUAGGAGUGCCUCUUCUGCAGGGCUUCCAUAACUGCAGAACUCUUUUGUAACCCCUAAUAUACAGGAGACAGACGUCUCUUUAGGGCAAGAGAGUUAGUGAGGGCAGGGACUAUAUAGUCUUCUGCCUUCAGCUCAUCAUCUAACUGCUGAACGGACUUCUGCUCUAUCUCCAUCUCAGGGCUUCCCAGUUUUGGUCUGAGGCCUGGUACCAAUUUUCUCUCAUCUGUGAUGAAAUUAGAAAAAUAAGAGCCCUGCGGUGAAUUUUUCAGAAAGCUAAAUCUGUUUACAUUUUGGGUGUUAAAAUGUGCUUUUUCUAAUGAAAUGAUGUUGAUAGUAGAUGGUAGGGUAUAUUUAUGUCUUUAGUUGACAACAUUCUGUCAGAGCCCAAAAUUUGCUGGAAAUUUUACAGUUCCCUGAAAACCAAAGGUCUGGGAACAGUGCUGUAUCUCAUGGGGUGGCACCAAGUCCCCAAAGUCAAAAGCCUAUGAGUCAUCCUUGGCUUCUCCUCCUUCCUCAUCCCUCCACCCCCGCCACAUUCAGACACUUAGCAAGUCCUGCCAAUUCAACCUCCUAAAUAUUUCUGGAAUCUGUACUCUCCUCUCCAUCCUUGCUGCCAAUUCCUUAGGACAGGCCCUCUUUAUUUUCCCUGUACAACUGCAACAGUCUCCUGACUGGUCUUCUUGCCACUGUUCCCCUCUUACCCAUGCCCGUCAGAACGAGCUAUUUAAAAAUUAGAAAUGGAUAAAAGUUCCUUAUGGCAUACACGGUUUUUCUCUAGUGGGAUUUCUUGCUUUCCUUUGUUCACACCGUCUCCUGGUUUUGAGUGCCCUUUCUUUUCCACUUUCUUGGGUAACUCCUAUGUAAGUUCAGUUGUCACUUCCUCUACGAACCCUUUCUUACAAGUCUGAGUUAGGUGCCCCCUUGCCUAUAUCCCUACCUCAGCAUUUCCAGAUUAGUUGGUAGUUCAUCUUUUCAUGUCUGCCUGCCCACUAGACUCCGAACAACUUAAGAAAAUGUCUUUUAUCCUUUGAUCUUUCUAUCCCUAGCACCCAGUACAAUGCUAGAAAAUAACAAAUAUUGAGUAAAUGUUUGUUGGCUGAAUGCAUUUGUUUGGUAUUAUGAUCAGGUGUACACUGUGGAAGAUUUAUGGACCAGAUGGGGCUGAGUACAGGAAGUCUGCAUGAGGCAGGGAACAGGGUAAAGGCCCUCUAUAGAAGUUUAGACAAGAGUGAUGAGUACCUGAACUCAGGAAAUAGCAGUGGAUAGAGAAACAUUUAGGUGGUGGAAUUGGUGCUUGAUUAGAUGUAUGGGGUCAUGGAAGAACCUAGGAUUACUUGAAGGUUUCUGGGCUUAGAAAAUUGGUUGGUUGGUGGUGUGGUUCACUGAAGUGUCUGUUCUAGACACUUUGAAUUGAAAUGUUUAGAAUAUUGGUUAAAGUUGUCCAAGCGGUGAGUGGGUAUAGCGUUUGGGGAGAGAACUGUCUUGGAGAGACAGGUUGGGGAUUCUGCAGCCUUUAGGUACUAAAUGAAGCCUUGGCCGCAAGGGAGAUAAUGAUUAGUUGUUGUUGGCUGUGUCGUAGAGGUGGUGGUGCAUUGGGUGGGAAGAGAAUGGGAUCAUGAGAUUCUAGAUGUUGGAGGUCGAGAUCAAGGAGAAAGAAGCAUGUGAAGGUUCUGAUUGAAGUCCUGGUUGUGUGUGUUGCAGGUCUGUGAUCUGGGCAAAUUACUGUUUGCCUCCGCUUCUCCAUCUGUAAAAUGAGAAUAGUAACGCCUAGUUAACUGGGAUAUUAAAAGAAUUCAAUGAGUUUGCAUAUGAGAGGUGUCGAGUAUAGCCCUAGGCUCACUCUAGGGGCUCAUAAAUGGUAGAGAGAAGAUUCAAGAAAAUAUUUCUCAGGACCUGAAGAUGGUUUCAAAACAAAGAAUUUUUCUUAGUGAUUACAUUGGAGAUUAUAGUUAACAUCUUAAACUUAAAACAUUUUAGUUUUAAACAAUACAACUUAGCUUCUAUGGUGUAUAAAAACCUUUUUUCCUAUACAGCUCCGUCCAUCCCCUUUUAUGCUAUUAUUGUCACACAUUUCAUCUUUACACAUUGUAGGACCAUUACCAUAGAUUGGUACUUACCAUCAUAUGCAUUUGUCUUUUUAAUCGUAUUAGGAAAAAAAGAGUUCCAAAACCAAACUACAAUAAUACUGGCUUUUUAAAUUUUUACCUAUGUAGUUAGUUACCUUUGUCAAUGUUCUUUCUUUCUUCACGUGGCUUUGAGUUACUCUCUCCUGUCCUUUCAUUUCAAUCUGAAGACCUCCCUGUAGCAUUUCUUUUUUUUUUUCUUAUGUUAUGUUCAUCACCAUACAUCAUCAGUUUUUGAUGUGGUGUUCCAUGAUUCAUUGUUUGCAUAUAACACCCAGUGCUCCAUGCAGAAUGUGCCCUCCUCAAUACCCACCACCAGGCUAACCCAUCCCCCCACCCCCCUCCCCUCUAGAACCCUCAGUUUGUUUUUCAGAGUCCAUCGUCUCUCAUGGUUCAUCUCCCUGUAGCACUUCUUCGAGGGCGGGUCUCCUGGCAACAGACUCCCUCAGCUUUUGUUUAUCGGAGCACGUCUUAAUUUCGCCUUCGUUUUUUUUGAAGGGUAGUUUCUCUGGAUAUAGAAUUCUUGGUUAACGGUUUUUCUCUCAGCACUUUAAAUGUGUCAUCCACUGCCUUCUGUCUUCCGUGGUUCUUUUUUCUUUCCCUCUAAUUUAUUUAUUAAUUUGGCCGGGGGGGGGGGUUGAAGGGGGGUGUGGAGAGCAAGAGUGCACAAGCAGGGGAAGCAGCAGGCAGAGGGAGAAGCAGGCUCCCUGCUGAGCAGGGAGCCCGCCGCGGGGCUCGAUCCCAGGACCCCAGGAUCAUGACCUGAGCCGAAGGCAGACGCUUAACUGACUGAGCCUCCCAGGCGCCCCUAUCUUCUAUGGUUCUGAUGAGGUGUUGGCUAUUAAACAACGUUAGGUGGUGAGUAGCUUAUACUUGCUGCUUUCCAGAUUCUUUUUUUGCUUUUUGACAGUUUGAUUUAUAAUGUGUCUCAGUGUGGAUCUCCUGGCCUCACGUUAAUGUGCCUAGAAAGCACUCAAAUAAAGGAUUGUAAUAAUGCAGCCAAAUUAAACGAUUGUAGUUUUGUAAUAACAAUGACUGCGAAUUAUCCAUCGGUAGAAGACAAUCAGUAUAUUGCGCUUAAAAAGUCAAGAAAAUGUUCAAUGCAUGCUACAGAGAAUUCCAUUAAAAACUUUAAUUUUUUGGGUGCCUGGGUGGCUCAGUUGGUUAAGUGACUGCCUUCGGCUCAGGUCAUGAUCCUGGAGUCCCGGGAUCGAAUCCCGCAUCAGGCUCCCUGCUCGGCAGGGAGUCUGCUUCUCCCUCUGACCCUCCUCCCUCUUGUGCUCUCUCUCAUUCUCUCUCUCGCAAAAAAAACAAAAAAAAACAAAAAAAAAACUUUAAUUUUUAAAAAUUGUUUGAGGGCUUACAAUGGGUAAGAAUCAGAUAUCAAAAUUCUCACUUUCAUGGAUAAUUGCCUGAUAGAGUCCCAGUAUGAGUUGUUCCUAUGGUUCUUUGCAAAAGAAACAUUCUUCCUUGGGGGACAUAUAGUUGGAGCUACAUUUACAAAUUCUUCUCCUUUAGUUUUUCAUUGCUCUCAAUGCCAUGAAAUAUUUACCUUAUUAUAUGAAAUAUUCCUAGAACAAAGAUUAAACUCUAAAAUAAAAUUUGUAUGGAGGCAUACUAAAUCAUAACUUAAUAUUACACAUUUUUACAUCUGAACAAAACAACCUAAUUCCAGAUGCCUAAGUUUGGCAGUUGAUAGAGCUUAUCAGUUCUUUUUUAACUUUUCCAACUAUGUUCUAUUUUCUUAUCUUUUAAUAUGGUUUCCUGAUGGUGUCCUUAAAAUAUAUUUAUAGAUUUUUUUCAGUUCUUUUUUUUAAAAUAUUUUAUUUAUUUAUUUGAGAUAGAGUGAGAGAGAGAGAGAUUGAGAAAACACAAGCCAAGGGGAGGGGCAGAGGGAGAGGGAGAAGAAGGCUCCCGACUGGGCAGGGAGUCCGAUGGGGGGCUCAAUCCCAGGACCCUGGGAUCAUGACCUGAGCCAAAGGCAGACACUUCACCGACUGAGCCACCUAGGUGCCCCUUUUUUUUUCAGUUCUUAACACAGUAGUUGUUCCUGGAAAUUUUGCUUGAAUAGAUCUAAUUUUAAAAUGUAAGAUGUUAGAGGCGCCUGGGUGGCUCAGGUGGUUGGGGAGCCAACUCUUGAUUGUGGCACAGGUCAUGAUCUCAGGGUCCUGGGAUCAAGCCCCGCAUCCUCUCUCUGCUCAGUGGGGAGUCUCUUUGAGGAUUCUCUCUCCCCCCUUCUCCCUCUAGCUCUCUAAUAAAUAAAUACGUCUUAAAAAAAUAAAAUAGAAUGUAAGAUGUUAGAUGUUAAUUUUUAUGACUUUUAAAAAAUGCUUUUAUCAUUUUGGUUGCUUAUACCUUGUUAUAUUAGAAAGGGCGCUGAAUUCUUAGCCAUGAGACCCAGUUUUCUUACUCCUUCAGUUGCUUUGCCCAUCUGCAUUCUCUUGGCCUAUGCUUCUUUAUCUGUAAAACGAUUGUACAGAACCAGAUAAUCUCUGAAGUGCCCCAUACUUUCAAAAUUCCAUAAUUCUACCAUGCAGGAUUUUUCUCUGGCUUGUCUGAUAAAAACCUUAGAGCAGUUUAAAGAAUUUGUGAGCUGUCACUGUUUCUCUUUUAUUUCAUGUUAAUUCUGUUACUUUUGACCUAACAAUUAGCCAAGCAUCAGAAAAGUAGUUUUAUUUUUCCUACAUGCUUUUUUAUGGGGUUGCUCCAUAUGGGAGAAAGAUUAAAAUCUCAUCCCUUCAGUGAGACAAUAAUGCAUACAUAGUAUUUUUUUUCUCCUAGAACCAAUUUAAGAAGUUAAGUUGUUAACAUUUAAUUUUAAAAACUUGCCAUUUCAGGAUUGAGGAUCAGGAUUUUCUCAGUAACUCAGAGGAGCAGAGUGAAGAAAAGUAUAUGAGUGAUGGAAGAAAGAAGACUUAAAUGAGAAAAGAAGCUUUUAUAACUCUUGUUUUUAAAAUGGCGAUUUUUUUAUUAUUAAAAAUUGAUAUGCUCUCAUUGUAGAAAGUCUAGAUAGGCAAAUAACAGGAAACACAGCUCAGUAAUCUCAUCACUGAGAGAUAACCACUGUUAGCAUCUUGAUUUAUCUUUCUACCAUUUUGUUUAUAUAUGCAGAAUCAAACUGUACAUAUUUUUCUGAAACGUUCAUUUUCUUUUAAUAAUAGAUUAUGAACACCUUUCCAUGUUCAGUAAAUAUGAAUCUGAAUCAUCUUUUUAAAGGCCACAUAAUCUGUGUAUCUAUUUAUGUAUCUACCUACCUAUCUUGCCAGAUUACUCUCCAGAAGGUUUUUGUUUGGUUGGUUGGUUGGUGGGUUUUUUUGUUGUUGUUUUUACCGAUUUGUACUCCCACAGUGAUGUGGGUCCAUUUCACAAACCCUCACAGACGCUAUGCCAUUUUACCAUUUAAAAAUUCCUUACCCAGUUUGAAGGGCUUAAAUAGUAUAUUGCUGAUGUUUUCAUUUGUUUCAUUAAGUUAUUACUAUAGUUUUAACAUUUUCUCAUAUGUUGAUAGUCAUUUAUGUUUCCUUAAAAGGAACUAACUUCAAUGGUUGUUUUAUUAGAUAAGAACCUAAUCCUAAGUACCUGACUGAAUUAGUGCUAGGCUAAAUUUACUCACCUCAGAAGGAUGUGAUUAUGAAAGAUUUUUGGCUUACGGUGUAGGUAAAGUUUGGUUAGUUUUCUUCUAAGACCCAGCAGACAGCCUUCAGCACAGACAGCUGCCUCGUUUUGGCUGAUUCGUCGUUUUUCCUCAAGAGAGGCCCAAAGCUGGAGAACGGGGCUUUUACAGGUCAGAAAUGGAGACAGAACUGAAUGUUGAAAGUUUUCCAGAAUCCAGCACUCCUUCUGACUCAAGCCAGAACUGUUGACUUUACUUUCAAAAAUACCAUUUAACUCUUGUAUUUUUGAGAUGAGACUAUCUUUUUCUACCUCUAUUGGGUGAACUAAAGUGGGUUAUUUUUCUAACUAGUUAAGGGAAGGAUGUAAGAGGGCCUGGAGGAUCAAGUCUUUAACUUUAUUUUUCCUGUGAAUUUUCUGAACAUUUAUUGUUUUCAGUCCAGCCUGGAAAGCAUAUACUGCUAUAUCCAAGUUUACCAAAGGCAUUUGGGGAUCCUGUCAGCCAGUGUGUCUCCUCUGCCAUAGAGAGGUCUCUGACCCAAAUGCUGCAGAGGUAGGAUUGCACAAUGGUUAGGAAAUCCGACUCUGGAACCAGACAGCCUGACUUCAGAUCCUAUCUCCACCACUUACCCUCCUGUGCUUUAGGCAAAGUACUAAACCUCUCUCUGGCUCUUUCUUUCCUCCUUUUGUUUCUAAACAGCAUUAUUGAGAUACACUUUACAUACCAUCAAAUUUAUCUGUGUAAACAGUUCAGUGGUUUUUGGUCUAUUUACUGAGCUGCCCAACCAUCACCAUGAUCUAAUUUUAGACCAUUUUAUCACCCUGAAAAUAUCCCGGUACCCAUUAAUGGUCAUAUUCUAUUCCUCUCCCUGCCCCAGCACCUCCAGCCCUAGGCAACGACUAAUCCACUUUCUGUCUCUAUGGACCUGCCUACUCUGGACCUUCCAUGUAAAAGAAAUCGUGCAAUAUAUGGCCUUUCCUUACUGGUUCUUUUCACUUGGUGUAAUCUUUUCAAGAUUUAUCUACGUCAUACCAUGUCUCUCUACUUCAUUCCCUUUUUUAAUCAAAUGAUACUCCGUUGUAUGGAUAUAGUGCAUUCUGUUUAUCCAUGCAUCCAUUGAUGAACACUUGGGUUGUGACUACUUUUUUAGCUAGUGUGAAUGAGGCUGCAGUGUUGUUUACGUACAUCUGUUUCUUUAUUCAUAAAGUGAGCACCAUCUCAUAGAGUUGUGAGGACUAAAAAAGUCCAAGUAUGUGGAAGUAGUGAGUGGAUAGGGAGCAAACAGUGUUAGUUAAUAAGUGCAACUUAGGAGUGUGUGUCCUCACUUAACGUCAAUUACAAGAUUUGACUUACUCAGGGUGCCAUGCUUUCUUUCCUAACGACCUCUCCGAAGAUCCUCUCUUUUCCUUUGCUGCUGACUUUUCCCUGAGUUACAAUUCUGAAAAGUUUAAUUCAUUCAGCAAAACGUUUAUUGAAUACCUGCUGUGUGUUAGAUGGUUACGCCAGGUGCAUGGAGAACUAAAAGAACAGGAUAAACGGAAGUAUGCAGAGGCAUUUCCAGUUUAAGGUUGUCUUUAGUUUGCUAAUCGGUAGCCUCUGACCUGCCAGUAGGGUUUAGGACUUAGAGCCCCUGAACCCCACCUUCACACCAGAUGCCACAGGUUUGGGGUCUCUUAAUCCUUUCACUCUUGUCAGGCCUUUGUUUUGACCAGCUUAUCUGUGUUUGUCAAGUGGCUGAUGGAAGCUGACUGUUGUGUAUAGUGAUUGAGUCUCGGUGGAGACCUCAACAGGUAAAAGAGUAGUUAGUAUCUCACUCCUGCGCUGUCCCUGGGGUUGCCGAAUGGUGUCUAUUCUAAUCCAUAUGGAAAAGUCCCUAAUUUUUUCAAUUUGCAGGUUUCUUCUUUUUUGUAGAGCUGACUUCACGUGCUUUCUGAACUAAUGCGUGUUGGAACUGGACUCAGCAAAAAUAUCGACUCAGCAUUGUCUAGCUACCUGUGUUUUUUAUCUCUUGACUUUGGGUGGGUAGUGAUUUGCAUGGUGACUUAGAAUACACUUGUUGAAUAUUUUGCCUCUGCCACCGUCCUCUGCCCUAUAAGAGAACAAAUACAUUUUUAUGAUUUCCUUAUUUGUUUGAGCUCUGAAGUAGUGUUUCCUUUUUCCCGUAAUAGCAUAGAGUUAGCAUAACGGAGUGAUGCUACUACCUCAUUCUUCUCUCUUUCAUUCAGACAAAAUGCAUUAGCAGUUUAAAGAACUGUUUGAUAACAGAAGAGUGCCUCUAGUGUUUGCUGGAGGACUAUGAAAGCAGUUUGAAUUCUGGGGGCGCCUGGGUAGCUCAGUGGGUUAAGCGUCUGCCUUCAGCUUGGGUCAUGAUCCCGGGGUCCUGGGAUCCAGUCCCGCAUCUGCUUCUCCCUCUCCCUCUACCUGCCUCUCUGCCUACUUGUGCUGUCUCUAUCUCUGUCAAAUAAGUAAAAUCUUUUAAAAAAAAAAGAAAAAGUUUGAAUUCUGUUGCUUAAUGUCCAUUUCAGGAAUUUGUCUUGAAUAUGAGCAGAGUAGUCUACAGGUACGCCAUAUUCCCAUUAGGACUUCCACAGAGCUUAUUUGGGGCCUCGCUAAUAGUAUACCAAUUUUGUACCAUAUGCCAUCAUACGGUAGCAGUGUGUUUCCAUAUAUAGGAGUUUUACUGUUUGCUCUGUUUUAAAUAUUUACUGUCGUGCGAGCCAUAUCUUGUAAACUUGCCCAAUUUGGGGGAUUCCCACUUAACUUGUAAAACAUUUUUUGGUUAAUGGAUGCAAAGAUAUUAUUAGCUCAUAGGUCCAGAUUGCCACCUCUAUAUAGAUAGAAGCUGAAACCAGAUUAGUAGAAACUCUAAAGAUGAACUAGAAGAAGAUGAACCACUUAAUUUUCUUAUGAACACUCUCUUUAAGGCUAUAAAGAAUCAAGUGAUUUAGUAAAUAAAGGAUGUUGACUUUGCAUUCCCUUGUCAGAUGAUGGUAGCCUUAAACUUUAGCAGCACGAACAGAUUUCCCUGCUUUAGAGUUGCAAUCUGACAUUUCACUUGACCCUUGGAUAACACAGGUUCGAAUGCAUGCAUCCACGUAUAUGCAGAUUUUUCCCUAUUAAUACAGUACUGUAACUGUAUUUUCUCUUUCCUUACUAUUUUCCUAAUAACAUUUUCUUUGGUCUACUUUAUUAUUUUUUUAAAUGUGGAACAUUUCACUAAUUUGCGUGUCAUCCUUGCAUGGGGGCCAAUUUUAGUAUAUGUGCUGCGGAAGCGAACACCAGCUCUAUUUUAACAAUUCAGUAUGUAGUACAUAUAACACACAAAAUACGUGUUAAUCGACUGUGUUCUCAGUAAUGCCUCCAGUCAACAGUAGCCUAUUAGAAGUUAAGUUUUGGGGGAAUCAGAAGUUACACAUGGAUUUUUGACUGCAGGGGGGUCAGCACCCCUAAACUCUGCAUUGCCCAAGGGUCAGCUUCCCUGGGCAUUGUCCCCUUUUCAGCAGUAGGUAAUGAGGUUGCUUAAUUCAGGAUUCUAGGAGAACAUAUCUCCGAGCAUUGGGAUUCAGCCCUUAAAUUAAACUCUGUAUCCUUGUGUUAUUUUUAAAUACUUCUCCUUGCCUCCUCACUUCCUCUUACCCCACUGAGUCCCUUCCUGUUCUAGGUUACAUAUUCCUGUUUGCUGUGAACUCAUCUGUGUGUCUUCUUCUGCCUUUCUCCGCUUUUUCUCCACAAAACGUUUCUGCAGUCAGACCAGGAACCUCAAAUAGGACUCCUUGGGAGAGAUGAAUUCGUCUGCUCUGGGGCUGUCAAUUACUCUUGCCCAGGGGUCAUGCUCCUGGAGGGACCAUUUAAAGGGAAAUUGUCUCCCAGCAAGUCAGGUCUGGUGCAGUCACCUAGAGGAAACUACUACUAUUUAUAUGCUUGACCUUAAUUCAUUGUGUCUAAUAUAUAAGACAUAUUUGAGGUCAGAUAUUGCUGUUUCAGAAUCAUUUAACCAUUUCAAGAUAUGUAUAAAUGUCCUAGGAUUAUUUUUUGUGUGUGAGUAAUAAAAGCCCAGCCCAAACUGGGUAAGCACAAAAGUGACGUUACUGGCUGAUGUAACUAAUAAAUCCCAGGUUAUGUUGGCACAAGUGGGGCCGGUGCUUACCAGUGUCUCCAGAAUCUCUCGCCUGUAUCGUUUCUCUGCUCUGGCUCUCUUCCCCAUUGGCUGCAUUCCAUGGCGUGCUCACUAAAGUGGUGGCAAAGACAGCCAUCGGCAGCUGCAGGCUUCUCUGUUGCCGGUUUGGUAAUCCCAGAAUAAAGAGAGCGAUCUCUACUCUCCCAGAAGUUCUAGUAAAAGUCCUGGGACUGAGUCACAUGGUCCUGUCCAUCCCUAAAUCAGUCAGUGUUACUCAGUCCAGAGCAGGUUACAUGCUAUGCUGCGCUCAUGCCCCCAAAACCAUAUUGCCUGAGUAGGAGUGGUUCGUCAACAAAAUAUGAAGAUAUGGUUUAUAGAGGAGGUAAUAGGUGUUGGAAAGGCAGACAUCACACAUGUCUACUGAAUAUUAGGGUGUAGAAUGAAUGUACUUUGAUGUGAUAUGUAGUUUCAUGUUCUGUGUAUAGAAUUUAUUUGGAAUUAAUGCACAGCCAUACACCAUUACUUACAGUUUGAUAUAUCAGUCUUCUCUCCCCUAACUGGAUAGUAAAGCUCUUAAAGACCAUACCCAUCUUACAUCUUUUGGAAUCUCCAAGACUUAGUACCACUCCUGCACAUGGUAGGUACUCAUAAAUGUUUAUGGACGCUGCAGAAAUGGCAAGUUCCUUCUAGCAGCAUUUUCAUUAUUGUUGGUGGCAAAUACCUCUGGAGUUACACCAUUCAGUGUUGGUUUAGAACAAGUGCACACACAGUCCAUAUUUAAUGAGCAAAUGGAGAACACCCUGGCCAGUAUCCAGUAUGCGUGAACAUAACCUCGGGUACAUGCAAGCUACACGCCCAGAAUGUGCUUCGUGGACUAUAUAGAGAAAGAGAGAUAAAAAAGAAUUCUUCUCAAUUCCAAAGACUGGCCGUAGUUCAAAUAAAAUUUUAUUUAGCGCCCUUAGGCAGCCGUGCCAGACUUCUCUCAGCUCUUGAACUAUUUGAUGUCCCAAACAUUCAAGGGUAUGAAAAAAAAGUGACAGGAAAAAAAAUCCUCAUAGAACUUCCUGUGACAGGUCAAAGUUUAAUCACAGCAAAUAAUGCAGAUUUCCCUUUUCUUAUAACCACAACAGAAAGGCGGGGCUUGUGUUUACAAAGCAUGUUGUUUGGGAGACCUUUGUAAAUUGUAAUCUUUGGAAAUCCCAAACCUAUUGGAUGUAAUCCCAUCCAUUAGACAAAGGCAACUUGCCUAUGCAGUAGAUCCAGAAUAGCAAGUUAAAUGGAAAACAUGAACAGGAAGCAGUCAUUAAGAAUUACAAUGGGUAGGAUACAGAGUUAAUUCACGGAGAAAUUUUGUUAUGAGAUAAUGACAUCACUAGGACAGCUGGAAAGCUGAGGGCUGUGCUGGACCCUGUGCUUUGCUCUCUGCCCCGCAGCUGAGGGGUCAGGACUAUAGAGACAGGGAGAGAACUUUAUGGGAUAGUUAGCGGCUUGGCUGACUUAAUUGUGAAAUGGUAAUGACCUAUCUGGCUUUUUUGGAUUGCCUUUUGCAUAGCUAAACUGGAUUCAUAGACUUAGUGAAUGCUGAGAACCACUUUUCAUUUCCCCUUUCUGAACAUUCACUUGGAUCACAUUAAGCUAGGCUCUAAUGGAUACGUAUCGAAUGGUAGCUUUGAUUUCCUCCAAACGUCCUCUGAGAUAUUUUGUUCAUAUUCAACACAGUAUGAAUAUAUUUCUCUUAUGGAACUAUAGUCAUGCAAUCAUUGAAAUGGUGUUUUUGUCAGUUUACUGAAUAGCAAAAAAAAAAAAAAAAAAAAAAGUUUUAGAAAGUCUUAGGAUGUUGGUCAACACAAGGAAUCAUACAGUUGAAGUUAUUUUCCAGUGUUUAUUUUCAAAUGUUCAGACCUGUCUGGCUCUUUCGUUUUGCAAGUGUAGGGGUUAUAGGCAGCCUGGCCACAUUCCUCAUUGAUUUAUAUAAAUAUAUUACAGAUUGUUAACCUCCUGCCAAAUACCAGGGAUUUCAGUUCUUGUUUAGCUCAGUUGCUUUAUGUGAGACUUAUUUGUUAUAUUAAACAUCUAUGUUCUCUUUAUUGCCCACCACAUUGACUAUUAUUUAUUUGAUUUGGGGUAAUUCCAGAGGGAGUCAUUGUAGACAGAAAAGCAUCAUAAAUAUUAUGUUCUAAAAUUCCUCAGAUGAAUACAGGCCUUUCCUGCUAUUUGAAAGUAGAAUGUUCCUGGGAAACCUUUUGUAGGCUGAAAUGGUGUAAAGUGAAGAAGCAGUUACCAUUAAUUUAUGUGGAAAAUUUUUUGAGUGUUCCCAGACCCAAAAAGUAACCUCUCCUAGGCUUUUCUGAUACCUUAGGACACAUCUUGCUAACGGGUGCACAAAAUAAAUCGAGGUAAAGCACAGAUGCUCACCGAGAGCCUCCAAAGCUAAGGCGGCUUAAUGCCCAGAGGCUGAGUAUCAUUGUGAGGAGGAGCUUGGGGGUGCCCCCUUCACUGUUUGGGAUGCGUGCUGCCUCUGCAAAGGCUCACUACAAAACAAAUAUUGAGGGGCACCUGGGUGGCUCAGUCGUUAGCAUCUGCCUUCGGCUCGGGUCAUGAUCCCAGGGUCCUGGGAUCGAGUCCCACAUCGGGCUCCCUGCUCUGCGGGAAGCCUGCUCCUCCCUCUCCCACUCCCCCUGCUUGUGCUCCCUCUCUCGCUGUGUCUCUCUCUGUCAAAUAAAUAAAAUCUUAAAAAAAAAAAAAAAAAAACAAGUAUUGAAUGCUAUUUUCACUUUUCUCCCUUUUUCCUAAAAGCACAAAUCCUCUUUGAGAUUUCUUCAGUUAGUGAGAACAGCUGUACUAAUGUAGGACUUUUGUAAAAGGGCAGUGGCGUGAACUUUCGAAGACUGGGGAAUACCUGUAUUUAUAAUUGUUGACUCAAAAUGCAUUUCCUACACAUAAGAUAGUGUAGACUAUAUAAACUAGCAUAACUUUUUUUUUUCUUUACAGUGAUAAUGUUCACUAAACAAGACUGAAUUUUGUAUUUUAGCGUGGAGCAGCAUUUCCCAAAAUGUCUUCAGUGGAGUCCUGGCUCUGUAAGAUGUUGACCAUCGGCAUUGGAGCCAAAGAAGGUCCUUCCAGGACCUCUCCUUCCCUUCAUGUCACUUGUGAAUUUCUAAGGAGAAAGUAAUACGCUGCAUUUGCAGCAUCCUAAGUGGCCGGAAAGGCAGCCCCGCAGGCUGCCGGCUCCAGACACUGAUGACUUACAGCGAGGAGGCUGUAAGAGGGUUUGUUCGGAGGGGAGUGAUGGCUGCAGGGCACCGGAGGCAGUAGGGUGGGAGGCCCGCGGGAGUGGCAGGGAUCUGGGAGCACUUCCCCAGCGUUCAGGGCUGGGAGAGCGGCGGCCAGGGUCCCAGCCACGGCCGAGUCUGGGGAGGGAGCGGCCGCAGCAGUGGGCAGAGGAGCUGGAGUGGAAACCGGCCCGGGAGAGAAGCCGGUGGGCUGUGGGCGUCCUUCCCAUCAAGAAGCUGGGCCCGGCGGCCGUGGACUCCAACCCCUGCAGGCGCCUGAUGGCACUGAACCGAGUGGGCAUCGGAAGCGACUGCGAGGAGGAAAUCUGUACCUUUGCUGUAGCCAUAGUGGGGUCGGCGGAGUCGGUAGCGUGCCUGCUGACGUGGCCUUGCUACGUUGCUACUCUUUGACCACGACAAGGAGGAACUGGCACAUAUGAAUAGACCUUUCUUCCAGCCUAUCCUUCCAAUCAAGCAGGAUUAAGUAAAGUUCAAGCAGCAGAAUAUGCUUUGAGGAACAUUAACCCAGAUGCUCUUUAGGAAGUAUGUAACUGCAAUAUAACCACAGUAGAAGACUUUCAGCAUUUCAUGGAUGAGAGUAAGUAAUGGUGGAUGAGAAGAGGGAAAACCCCUUAACCUAGUUCUUAGCUGUGCGGACGGUUUUGAACCUCGGGUGACAAUAAACACAGCCUGUAAUGAACUUGGGCAAACGUGGCUGGCGUCUGGGGUCAGUGAAAAUGCAGUUUCAGGGCAUAUACAGCUCAUAAUUCCUGGAGGGUCUGCUUGUUUUGCACGUGCGCCACCAAAGUGCUGCAAAUACUGAUGAGAAGACUCCUAAAUGAGACGGUAUGUGUGCCCCCAGUCUUCCUACCACUGUCGGCAUGGUUGCUAGGAGCUUGGUACAAAAUGUGUAUAAAGUUUCUGUUAAACUUUGGUACUGUGAGUUUUUACCUUGGAUAUAAUGCAGUGCAGGAUUUUUUUCCUGCUGGGACCGUGAAGCCAAAUCCUCAGUGUGUUGACAGAAAUUGCAGGAAGCAGCAGGAAGACUACAAGGACAAGAGGUUGUUCAAGAAGAAGAAGAGGAGAUAAUAUGUGAAGAUAAGGGAUGGGGUAUUGAGUUGGUAUCUGAGGUUUCAGAGGAGGAACUGCAGAAUUCUUCAGGUCCAGUUCCUGACUUACCUGAAGGAAUGACCCUGCCAUAAACAAUUCCCGAAAAGCAAGAAGGUUCUAUACCUGAGGUGUAACUGUGGAAGAUUCUGGUGAAAGCUUGGAAGACAUCAUGGCCAAGAUGAAGAAUAUGUAGAUAAUAGACUGACCUAUAUUUUAUUUCCUGAGUUUAAGCCUAUUUCCUUGCAAUUAAAAAAAAAAUCAUUUAAAAACUGGCAAAGCUUAGGGCAACAUUAACUGAUAAUAAUCUUCGCAAAAUUGUUAACACUCUUCGAAAAUACUGUGUUACUCGUUGCUUUCUCCCUUCAACUAAAUCAGUAAUUCCCCUAAAACUUUCUAGUUAAGAAAACUUGAAAACUUAGCCACUGAACUGUUUUGGCCUUUUGGGAGGGGUGCGAAGAAAUGACCAAUUUGAUGCCAUAUUUCUUUUCUUUCCAGUAAGCCUUUGUGGUCUGUUACCUGAGGCAUGGACAAUAAAGUAGUAUGUGGUUCUCAAAUAUAGGGUGAGAGCUAGCAGACAUCUACUCACUGUGUUUAGAAUCACUCUCUACAAGAAUACUACUACUAUUAACUUGGCUAACAGGAAUAAAUUUAGGCUAAGAUCAUCUAGAUUAUACCAUCAUAUGAGCUACCUUUUGGAUAUUUCAUUUAAAUUUGAUUCUCUAGAUAAUUUGAUAGUUUCCUGUACUGGGGGCAUAAAAGAGACCUAAAUUACCUGUGCAAUGACUGACAUGUAUUUAUUCACUGGAAGAGUGUCAUUUACCCUGAUACGAGCACUACAUUAUAAUUGAUAAACUGGUUUUCUCUGGAGUUGCACACAAAUAAUAAAAGCUUAGAGAGCCUUGGUUAAAUAAACUCCCAAUGGUUUGGAGACCAAUAAAAAACAUGCAUGUAUGGGGCGCCUGGGUGGCUCAGUUGGUUAGGCGACUGCCUUCGACUCAGGUCAUGAUCCUGGGGUCCUGGGAUCGAGUCCCGCAUCGGGCUCCCUGCUCGGCGGGGAGCCUGCUUCUCCCUCUGACCCUCCCCCCUCUCAUGUGCUCUCUGGCUCUCUCAUUCUCUCUGUCUCAAAUAAAUAAAUAAAUAAAUAAACUGUUUAAAAAAAAAAACAUGCAUGUAUAACCAUUAUCAGUAGGAUGUGACUAUGCUGUGCUAAUCUUCUAUUUUGAUGAUUUUUUGCUUUGAAGAUAUGAAUGUCUACAUUGUAUCUGUGGGGAAGAAAUGUUGGCACAAAAUGAAAACUGCGAUCUUCACUUGUAAAAUAAAGUUCUAAAAUCUGAUUUGAGAAAGUCCACCCCCAAAAUAAUAGCACCUUAAAAAAUAAAAAGAAUUAUCUCCUUGAACCAGCAUGAGCCACUUCUACCUAAUGCCAUUCUUUUUGUAACCUUGAAAAAUAAAAUAAUUAUAUACAUUAAAAUUUAUACAGGGAUGUUGUAUGCUAUGCACGGUCACACAUAUCUCUUUAAAAUUCCACAUUUUAAAAAUUGCCAAUUAGUGGCGCCUGGGUGGCUCAGUUGGUUAAGCGUCUGCCUUUGGCUCAGGUCGUAAUCCCAGGGUCCUGGGAUCGAGUCCUGCAUCAGGCUCCCUGCUCAGCGGGGAGUCUGCUUGUCCCUCCCCUCGUCCCUCCCCGUGCUCAUGUGUGCGCUCGCGCGCGCUCUCUCUCUCUCAAAUAAAUAAAAUCUUUAAAAAAUUGCCAAUUAAAAUGAGUGCCUUUUCUCCAUGGCUUAUGAUUUAGAGCAAUUGGCAGUGGCUUCAUGGGCUCACCUUUGCCCAUUUCGUGUGUGGAGUCCGGUUGCUUCAGGUACCAUCGGUGAGUCUUCAUAUUUUGAAGAGAAUGUUAUAACUUUGAGGAAAAUAACUUGGGUGGGUUAGAUGUUAUUCUUGAAUUGUGUCAUACAAACAGUGUUUGAAAGCAUGGUUUCAGUAAAAUGAAGCAACAGAGCAUACUGCCACGACAGUUAGGUAACUAACAACGGUUUGGAAGCAGGCUUUUUGGUUCAGCAGUGUUUUAUGAUCAUUUUAUUCUCCAGUUACGUCCCCGUCAAAUUUUUUUUUCUUUUGGAAAUUACUAAAAUGUCAUAUAUUACAAACUAUAAGUGCAGGAAGAACUAGAGUUACUAAAAUCAGUGCUGACCUGAGGCAGUGGUAAAAAAAAAAAAAAUGUAUUUUUUUUCAUGAAGGAAAUGUAUUAAUUAUAAUGGAAAACAUUUUAAAAGUAAUAUUUAAGAAGCACUCCUGUAGUGGUGCAGUUCCCAUGUUUGUGUUUGAAUUUAGUGCAUGUCAUUUUUGAUUCAUUGCUGUUUUAUUUUAUUACAAAAAUAGAAGUAACCUAUACAAAGAAGCUUGGUGAUUGUGGAACUCCUUUUUCUUCUUCAAAAGGAAGAAAAAAAGUGAAGCUGGCGAAGUAUGUAGGUUUUAUAAUGGAAAGAAG